GAUGAACGCUGGCGGCGUGCCUAACACAUGCAAGUCGAACGGGGAUAUUCCGCCGUUUGAAGCUUCGGCAGAGAACAUGGGAUAUCUUAGUGGCGAACGGGUGAGUAACGCGUGGGCAACCUCGCCCCGUACCGGGGGAUAGCAGUUGGAAACGACUGAUAAUACCGCAUAAGCGCACGGUCUCGCAUGAGACAGUGUGAAAACUCCGGUGGUACGGGAUGGGCCCGCGUCUGAUUAGCCAGUUGGCGGGGUAACGGCCCACCUGGCCUACGAUCAGUAGGGGUUCUGAGAGGAAGGUCCCCCACACUGGUACUGAGACACGGACCAGACUCC
rnacentral:rRNA from 1 species